UGAUCAGAAUACAAGUACAACAUGCGCUUCAUGCCCUGCGAUGACUUACACUAACUCUCCUAACGGAUUGACAGAAUGUUUGCCAUGUUUAGUCUGUGACACAAGUAAUGCGCUGAGAGUAAAGCAGGCAUGUACAUUAAUAUCAAAUACAGUUUGUGAACCUCUGUCAGGUUAUUACUGUAUAGACUUGCUCUCAAGCUGUAAAAAGGCCGUGAAAUAUUCAACCUGCUCACCCGGACAAUACAUCAACCAAACAGGAACAGAAUUCACUGAUACAGUGUCCGGUUGGUUCAUAUUCAGAUGAUACAUUCUGCAAAUUGCAUACAAACUGUGAAUCUCUUGGCAAAAUAACCAUCAGGGAAGGAACCGACACGACUGAUGCGGAGUGCAGCAAUGGAGCACCUUCUUAUUUAUUACCACUCAUUCUGGCUGUGUGUGUGCUGGUGUUAUUCAUAACUCUGAUUAUUGUCAAGAAAAUAAACUGCAAAUAUGCUGGAGUAAAUUGAGUUACAAACCAAAUGAUCUAAACUAUGUGUCCCAUCCUUCUUCAUGUUCAAUCCAGCUGCUCAACCAUCAGACCAAGCUAUAUUUACUCACUUAACUUUGUAUAAUUGUCAAGCGAAAUAUAUUCUUUUUAAAACAGACCUUAUAAUAAUCUUCAGUCAUGCUUCUUGACCUACAGAAGCCAUUGUUGCCAAGCAUGAUUUUAAACGAGCACAUUCAAUUAAAUG